CAAGUUUCAGAAAUGUUUCGGAGAGUAUUUUGACUAAAUUGGAUAUAUAUAUCAUAUUAUACAGAACAAAUAAGAAAACAUAAUGUAAUAAGACGAAAAUAGAACAUAUAAUACAAAAUAAAUUAAAUAAAAAUAAAUAUUCAAGUCUUUGCCUAUGCAGAGGCACUUUGCUGGAUCUGUUGCAGGAUAAAAAUGUCUCAUGGCUUUUACUAAAAAGGUAGCCAGAAGAGCAAACAUGAAGAUAGUGGUUACUAGGGCCCCCAUGCUUUUUAACACUUUGAGGAAUGAAAAAGACCCAAAGGAGCAGCUAGAACGAGCUGGUGUUUAUAGCGUAUCCGUUACUGACCACCAUACAAACCAGCAAGCAACCUAUACAGGGAUGAUUAACAGGACCUUGGCUCAACAAAUUAAAAGAGCACAAGAAUGACAUAAAGAGAGCCAGAAUGACAACGGCCCUGGCAGUUAAAGCCUAUGAGGAGGACUUAGCCUCCUGCCAGUGUAUAGUUAAGAUAGUAAAACAAGUGAAGACCCCAUCCCAGGCCAUCUGUACCAAAACACUGGAAAUCCUCACCUGCCAGAAUAAGGAGAACCCCAUCUCUAGGAUACCCGAUGCAUGGAGAUACCUACUACAGUGAUCCGAGAGCACAAUUAAAAAUAAUGGAGUUACUCUCAGCAGGAGGAAAGCAACUCAACCUGACCUAAAUGAACUGGGUCCUUGCUGGUACUGAGAUGUUUUUACUCUGCAACGGAGCCAGUAGAGAGUCUCUGCAUGGGCAGGGAUUUGAAGGUUUAUUUUUGUUUAUUUAUUUUGUAUUGUUCUAUUUUCGUC
rnacentral:lncRNA from 1 species